rnacentral:lncRNA from 1 species
GACUCUCGGCAACAUAUAUCUCGGCUCACGCAUCGAUGAAGAACGUAGCAAAAUGCGAUACUUGGUGUGAAUUGCAUAAUCCCGUGAACCAUCGAUUUUUUGAUCGCAAGUUGCGCCCGAAGCAUCCAGUUGUGGGCACGUCUGCGUGGGCGUCACACAUUACGUCGCCCCCACCAGGCCAUCCCUUUUAGGGUUGUCUUGUGUUGGCGCGGAGAUUGGUCUCCUGUGCCCAUGGCGUGGUUGGCUUAAAUAGGAGUCUCCUCAUGAGGGACGCACGGCUAGUGGUGGUUGAUAAGACAGUCGUCUCGUGUCGUGCGUUUACUUUCUUCAGUGUAGAUGCACUUAAAGUACCCCGACGUGUUAUCUUAUGACGAGGAUUUGAUCGCGACCCCAGGUUAGGCGGGACUACUCUCUGAGUUUAUGCAUAUCAAUAAGUGGAGGAAAAGAAAUCUACAAGAAUUCCCUUAUUAACGGUGAGCGAACCGGAAACAGCCCAGCUUGAAAAUCGGGCGGCUUCGUCGUCCGAAUUGUAGUAUGGAGAAGCGUCCUCAGUGGUGGACCUGGCCAGAGUCCCCUGGAAGGGGACGCCGGAGAGGGUGAGAGCCCCAUCGUGCCCGGACCCUGUCGCACCAGGAGGCGCUGUCUGCGAGUCGGGUUGUUUGGGAAUGCAGCCCCAAUAGUGCGGUAAAUUCCGUCUAAGGCUAAGUAGUGGCGUGAGACCGAUAGCGGCAUUGUCUGCCAGGACUGAGGAAAAUGCGGCAUGGAAAGGUCAG